rnacentral:ncRNA from 2 species
UUCCGGCAUCAGGAGCGGCUCGGCUUUGUGAGUCCGGCAACCUGGGAAGGACACCCAAGGUGCCUCUCGUCCAUGGGGACGAGGAUGUGGUCGCGCGGAGCGGCAAGUAUAUGUCCUGAG